rnacentral:rRNA from 1 species
UGGGGAAUAUUGCACAAUGGGCGCAAGCCUGAUGCAGCCAUGCCGCGUGUAUGAAGAAGGCCUUCGGGUUGUAAAGUACUUUCAGUCGGGAGGAAGGUGGUAAGGUUAAUAACCUUAUCAAUUGACGUUACCGACAGAAGAAGCACCGGCUAACUCCGUGCCAGCAGCCGCGGUAAUACGGAGGGUGCAAGCGUUAAUCGGAAUUACUGGGCGUAAAGCGCACGCAGGCGGUUGAUUGAGUCAGAUGUGAAAUCCCCGGGCUUAACCCGGGAAUUGCAUCUGAUACUGGUCAGCUAGAGGCUUGUAGAGGGGGGUAGAAUUCCAUGUGUAGCGGUGAAAUGCGUAGAGAUGUGGAGGAAUACCGGUGGCGAAGGCGGCCCCCUGGACAAAGACUGACGCUCAGGUGCGAAAGCGUGGGGAGCAAACAGG